UUAAGUCUCCAAAUCUCUGUCCUGGUGAAGCCAACCUCUGAGAAGUUCCUGGACUGAGAGCUGACAUGACUUUUAAAGUCCAUUUCCACACAUCAGAAGGAGCCAUAUCCCACAGAAAGCCAUCAUGCAACAUCACCAAAUGGAAAACUUGCCCAUAGAAAUAUGCAUAAACAGGAAAAGACUCAGAUGGAAAAGAAAACUGCAUACUGUAAAAUGAAAAGAAAAGAGCCAUAAAUUGAGAAAGAAAAGUUACAACUUCCUUUUCUCCUCAUUUAACCUUGUUUUUAUCUGUAAUCCAGAAAGACAAAAAACCCCAAAACUUGA